ACUCCGUUAGUAGUGGCGAGCGAACGCGGACCAGGCCAAUGCUUUAUUCAAACUGGAUUAGAACCAUCUGGAAAGUUGGGCCAUAGUAGGUGAUAGCCCUGUAUAGAGACAGUUAUUAUAGAGAUUCGAGUAGGACGGGACACGUGAAAUCUUGUCUGAACAUGGGGGGACCACCCUCCAAGCCUAAGUACUCCUUAACGACCGAUAGUGAACAAGUACCGUGAGGGAAAGGUGAAAAGAACCCCGACAAGGGGAGUGAAAUAGAUCUGAAACUGUAUACUUACAAUCAGUCGGAGCCCGCAAGGGUGACGGCGUACCUUUUGUAUAAUGGGUCAACGACUUAAUUUGGCAAGCAAGCUUAAGCCGAUAGGUGUAGGCGUAGCGAAAGCGAGUCUUAAUAGGGCGAUUAGUUUGUCGAAUUAGACCCGAAACCGAGUGAUCUAGCUAUGAGCAGGUUGAAGGUAAGGUAACACUUACUGGAGGACCGAACCCACGUAUGUUGAAAAAUGCGGGGAUGACUUGUUGCUAGGGGUGAAAGGCCAAUCAAACUCGGAGAUAGCUGGUUCUCCGCGAAAACUAUUUAGGUAGUGCGUCAUAUGUUUACCGCCGGGGGUAGAGCACUGGAUGGGCUAGGGGGGCGCGAGCCUUACCAAACCUAACCAAACUCCGAAUACCGAUGAGUACAGCACAGCAGACAGACCUUGGGUGCUAAGGUCCAAUGUCGAAAGGGAAACAGCCCAGACCGCCAGCUAAGGUCCCUAAGUCAUGGCUAAGUGGGAAAGGAUGUGGGAAGGCCAAGACAGCCAGGAGGUUGGCUUAGAAGCAGCCAUCCUUUAAAGAAAGCGUAACAGCUCACUGGUCGAGCGAGCCUGCACCGAAAAUUUAACGGGGCUCAAGUCAUGCGCCGAAGCUAUGGGAUUUGUAUUUAUACAAAUCGGUAGGGGAGCGUUCCCUAUGCAGUGAAGCUGAAUCGAGAGGGUCAGUGGAGCGUAGGGAAGUGAGGAUGUUGGCAUAAGUAACGAAAAUGCGAGCGAGAAACUCGCACGCCGAAAGCCCAAGGUUUCCCGG
rnacentral:rRNA from 1 species